GACGAACGCUGGCGGCGUGCUUAACACAUGCAAGUCGAACGGAAAGGCCUGCUUUCCCUUGUGGAUUGCGGGUACUCGAGUGGCGAACGGGUGAGUAACACGUGAGUGAUCUGCCCCCAACUUGGGUAUAAGCCUGGGAAACUGGGUCUAAUUCCCGAUAGGACUGCAGGGUGGUGCCUGUGGUGGAAAACGAUUUUCUAGUGGUUGGGGAUGAGCUCGCGGCCUAUCAGCUUGUUGGUGGGGUAAUGGCCUACCAAGGCGGCGACGGGUAGCCGGCCUGAGAGGGUGGACGGCCCAAUUGGGACUGAGAUACGGCCCAGACUCCUACGGGAGGCAGCAGUGGGGAAUAUUGCCCAAUGGGCGGAAGCCUGAUGCAGCGACGCCGCGUGGGGGAUGACGGCCUUCGGGUUGUAAACUCCUUUCGACCGCGAGGAAGCCACCUGGUUGGAAGGGUGGUGACGGUAGUGGUAGAAGAAGCACCGGCUAACUACGUG
rnacentral:rRNA from 1 species